AGCAGUGGGGAAUAUUGGACAAUGGGCGCAAGCCUGAUCCAGCCAUGCCGCGUGAGUGAUGAAGGCCUUAGGGUUGUAAAGCUCUUUUACCUGGGAAGAUAGUGACGGUACCAGGAGAAUAAGCCCCGGCUAACUUCGUGCCAGCAGCCGCGGUAAUACGAAGGGGGCUAGCGUUGUUCGGAUUUACUGGGCGUAAAGGGCGCGUAGGCGGGCUGAUAAGUCAGGGGUGAAAUCCCAAGGCUCAACCUUGGAACUGCCUUUGAUACUGUCGGUCUUGAGUUCGAGAGAGGUAAGUGGAACUGCGAGUGUAGAGGUGAAAUUCGUAGAUAUUCGCAAGAACACCAGUGGCGAAGGCGGCUUACUGGCUCGAUACUGACGCUGAGG
rnacentral:rRNA from 1 species